rnacentral:rRNA from 1 species
UGAGUAACCUGCCCUUAACUCUGGGAUAAGCCUGGGAAACUGGGUCUAAUACCGGAUAUGACUCCUCAUCGCAUGGUGGGGGGUGGAAAGCUUUAUUGUGGUUCUGGAUGGACUCGCGGCCUAUCAGCUUGUUGGUGAGGUAAUGGCUCACCAAGGCGACGACGGGUAGCCGGCCUGAGAGGGUGACCGGCCACACUGGGACUGAGACACGGCCCAGACCUCCGUACGGGAGCAG